rnacentral:misc_RNA from 1 species
GUUUAAGUAUUUUAAGGAACUGAUGAAAUAGGCAGCAUUAAGAACACCACAACCAGAUGAAACAGCCAACUAAAAACAGCCUCACACGGUAUCGUAAUCAACCAAGUUUUGCAGUAGUAAUUGUAACGCGGGUGCCAAUCUCUCAUUAGACUAAUAAAUUACUGCUUUUCUAGAUUUAGAUCUAGAUGUACAGAGGGAUGAAAAAAUACAGAGAGUUGUCCCACCAGUGACUACAAAAACACCCAAAAGGAAUAAGAAGCCCAUCUUUUUGCCCCAGUAGGGGAGAAGAAACAAACAAAAACUUAGCUAGCAUAUUCUUAGAUAAACGAACAGCAUAAUCACAUGCAUACACAUGCACAUUGAUAUCCAGUAUCAAUCGUGGCACCCUACCCCACCUAAGCAACAACCAUCUUGCCCACACUUUUGCAUCUUCAACCCCACAAAAGCAUCAAGCUUGAAAUCAAGAGGGCUACAAUAACGGAGAACCAGCUACUGUUUGGAAGUCUGAACCCACCAUCACUGAUGUCUGUGUUUAUUCCAGCUCCUGUUGGACUUACACCGUUGCCUAUGCCUCCCAAGACUCCAUUGGAAGGGGUUGUAGUGUAUGGAGUAGUAGUGGUUGGUGUGGUAUUGGUCGGG